GAUGAACGCUGGCGGCGUGCCUAAUACAUGCAAGUCGAGCGAACAGACGAGGAGCUUGCUCCUCUGGCGUUAGCGGCGGACGGGUGAGUAACACGUGGAUAACCUACCUAUAAGACUGGGAUAACUUCGGGAAACCGGAGCUAAUACCGGAUAAUAUAUUGAACCGCAUGGUUCAAUAGUGAAAGACGGUUUUGCUGUCACUUAUAGAUGGAUCCGCGCCGCAUUAGCUAGUUGGUAAGGUAACGGCUUACCAAGGCAACGAUGCGUAGCCGACCUGAGAGGGUGAUCGGCCACACUGGAACUGAGACACGGUCCAGACUCCUACGGGAGGCAGCAGUAGGGAAUCUUCCGCAAAGGGCGAAAGCUUGACGGAGCAACGCCGCGUGAGUGAUGAAGGUCUUCGGAUCGUAAAACUCUGUUAUUAGGGAAGAACAAAUGUGUAAGUAACUAUGCACGUCUUGACGGUACCUAAUCAGAAAGCCACGGCUAACUACGUG
rnacentral:rRNA from 1 species